AAAAGUUAUCCACGUAGAAAACAUUAGUUGAAUAAGUGAGUAAGAUGGGCAAAGAUUAAUGGUGUACGGAUGCACCAAAUAUUUUGCUUAUUUAAUCGACUUCAUUGCCUUACCAUCUCCCAUUGCAUUGCAUGAUUUUCCUUACUCUGCUCAUCAUACCUCUGUUUUCCAGCAGUUGAAAAUGAAGAGGUUUUCUGUCAAGGUUGAAGAAGGAAAGGAAGGUAAAGAUGGCGAACCAUCCGUCGGACCGGUUUAUCGAAAUGUUCUGGCAGAAAAGGAAUUUCCUUCUCCGUAUGAGGAUUUGAGCACAUCUUGGGAUCUUUUCAGUGUUUCAGCUAAAAAGUAUGCUGAUAGACGGAUGCUCGGAUGGCGAAAAUUCGUCGAAGGGAAGCCAGGACCUUAUAUAUGGAAAACGUACAAAGAAGUUUAUGAUGAUGUUCUUAACAUUGGUUCUGCACUACGAGCAAUUGGUGCCGAACCGGGAUCACGUAUUGGGAUUUACGGGGCGAAUUGUCCUCAAUGGAUUGUUGCAAUGGAGGCUUGUAAUGCCCAUAGUUUGAUUUGUGUGCCUCUCUACGAUACUCUUGGACAUGGAGCUGUUAAUUUCAUUAUAGAUCAUGCAGAGAUCGACAUCGUUUUCAUCCAAGAUAAGAAAGCAAUAGAACUAUUAAAUUCUGAAUGCAAAAUUCCUCAGAGGUUGAAAGUUGUUAUCUGCUUUACUUCACUCAAGGAGGAAGAAAAGAUUUCAGCAACAAACAAUGGGAUGAAACCAUACUCGUGGGACGAGUUCCUUCGCUUGGGAAAAGAAAACCCAUCUGAGAUCAGUCCUCCGCGACCUCUUGACAUUUGCACGAUUAUGUACACAAGUGGAACCAGUGGCACUCCCAAAGGGGUUGUGUUAACACAAGAAACCAUCACUACAUUUAUUAGAGGAGUUGAUAUCCAAAUGGAGCAGUUUGAAGAUAAGAUGACAGAGGAUGAUGUGUAUCUAUCAUUUCUGCCUCUAGCUCACAUCCUCGACCGUACGGUUGAGGAAUAUUUCUUUCGUAAAGGCGCAUCAGUUGGCUACUACCAUGGGGAUCUUAAUGCAAUAAAAGAUGAUCUAAUGGAGUUAAAGCCAACUCUUUUAGUCGGCGUACCUCGAGUCUUCGAAAAGAUUCACGAAGGAAUCAAACAAGCUGUACAAGUACUCAAUCCAGUGAGAAGGAAGGCUUUCGAUUUGCUCUGCAAAUACAAACUUUCAUGGAUGAAUAGUGGAUACAAACAAAAAGAUGCAUCCCCUUUGGCAGAUUUCUUGGCAUUCCGGAAGGUGAAAGCAAGAUUAGGCGGCCGCCUUCGACUAAUAAUAUCUGGGGGCGCGGCCUUGAGCACAGAAGUGGAAGAGUUUCUAAGGGUCACAUGUUGUGCCUUUUUUGUGCAAGGCUAUGGAUUGACUGAAACUUGUGGACCAACAACUAUUGGCUUUCCUGAUGAGAUGUGUAUGCUCGGAAAUGUUGGCGGAGUUACGCUAUUCAAUGAGCUUCGUUUGGAGGAGGUUCCAGAUAUGGGUUACAAUCCGCUCGGGGAUCGUCCAUGUGGCGAAAUAUGUGUGAGAGGAAAGACAGUUUUUACUGAAUACUACAAAGACCCUGAACUAACCAAAGAAUCAAUAAAGGAUGGUUGGUUUCACACAGGAGACAUUGGAGAAAUGUUCCCAAAUGGGGUUAUGAAGAUCAUUGACAGGAAGAAGAAUCUCAUAAAACUAUCCCAAGGAGAAUACAUAGCACUCGAAUAUUUAGAAAAUGUUUACUCGAUUACUCCGAUCGUCGAGGAUAUAUGGAUCUACGGGAACAGCUUCAAAUCAAUGCUGGUGGCAGUGGUGGUUCUACAUGAGGAAAACACUAAGAAAUGGGCAAAUUCAAAUGGUUUUUUGUGUUCUUUCUCUGAGCUUUGUCCUCUUGAACAGCUCAGACAUUAUGUUCUCUCUGAGCUCACUUCCACAGCAGAAAGGAACAAGUUGAAACGUUUCGAAUACAUCAAAGGAGUUGUGUUGGAAUCGCACCCAUUCGACAUCGAAAAGGAUCUGGUGACAGCAACUUUGAAGAAGAAGAGAAACAACUUACUCAAACACUAUGAGGCGCAAAUCAAUGCAGAGUACAAAAAUUUGGAGACAAAGAUAUGAUAAAGUUGAAGCUUAGUAGCUGGUUUUUCUGAUCUCAAAAGCAUACAAUCAAAAUCAUUUUGAUGAUGUUACAAACAGAAGAAGAUGGAAUAGUGACAGCAACAAUUGAAACAACGAACGGGCUCCCUAAGUUGGAGGAGAUCAAGAUGGAAACAAACUUUGAGAACUAUUAAAACUUCAAGAACCAACAACUUUAAAUCUUAUAGACCAAAACUAGUUGUCAAAGUACGAUUUAAAUUCUCUCAAUCUACUAUUAUACAACAAACAAUAGAACUAAUCUUAAGGUUUAUGAUAUUAACAGAAUUACCUACCAAACGUGUUCAACGUUCUUCA